GAUGAACGCUGGCGGCGUGCCUAAUACAUGCCAGUCGAGCGAACGGACGAGAAGCUUGCUUUUCUGAUGUUAGCGGCGGACGGGUGAGUAACACGUGGAUAACCUACCUAUAAGACUGGGAUAACUUCGGGAAACCGGAGCUAAUACCGGAUAAUAUUUUGAACCGCAUGGUUCAAAAGUGAAAGACGGUCUCGCUGUCACUUAUAGAUGGAUCCGCGCUGCAUUAGCUAGUUGGUAAGGUAACGGCUUACCAAGGCAACGAUGCAUAGCCGACCUGAGAGGGUGAUCGGCCACACUGGAACUGAGACACGGUCCAGACUCCUACGGGAGGCAGCAGUAGGGAAUCUUCCGCAAUGGGCGAAAGCCUGACGGAGCAACGCCGCGUGAGUGAUGAAGGUCUUCGGAUCGUAAAACUCUGUUAUUAGGGAAGAACAUAUGUGUAAGUAACUGUGCACAUCUUGACGGUACCUAAUCAGAAAGCCACGGCUAACUACGUG
rnacentral:rRNA from 1 species